rnacentral:misc_RNA from 1 species
AGGAGGACAAGUACGCAGUAGCGCGUCACAAACAAACACGUACGCACACCCGCACCCACACCCACACGAGCGCAGAGGUGCCGCUCAAGGAAACGCAUACCAUACACAGGUCCUCUUCCCUCGCGGUCUUUGAGUGUUCGGGCGCACCGUGGGCUGAAGUGGACCGAUGGGGCAGCUGAGAGGCAGUGCGCAUCUGACUCGCCACUGGACUCGGAGAGCUGAACCGCACUGUAGUGGCGUGACCUGCGGCAGCAGGAGCAUAACCAGCACCCCAACCGCGUCACCGUCGACAUCAAGCGACACCGACGCCGGCGCAGCAAGCGCGGCGCGGCUAGCUCGUGCGGCGGAGAUCCGACGCAAAGAGCUUCUAUUUCGGUGGCUGCGCCGCCUUGUCGUGCCCGCUUUCUCCAUCUACGGUCUGUUCCUUCUCCGACCAACCGAGGGUCAUUUCUUGCGCUACGUUGCCGAGCGGCGGCACCUGGAUGCGCCUUUCAACGCGUGGUUCCCUCCUAUCAUCGUGAGUAGCACGACAGAGCCCGGCUCCAAGGUAGAGCCUGCUAAGAGAGCACCGACGGCGACGAGCACGUCCUCACCGACAGGAGGGGCAGGCGCGAAAGGAGGAGCUCCAUCAUUGGCGCCGGAGGUCAUCCCGACAGUUUUUCGAAGCGAGCGCGAUCGCGAGUGGGCAGCGCAGCGUUUCAACUACAAGAAGGGCAGCGAUGAUGAAGAGCGUGUGGCCCGCAAGCGCCUCUUGUUUGCGCGCGACCGCGUCCACUUGCCGGACGACACCGUCGUCGAGACGAUUCGUAGUCCGUCGGAGCAGCUGGAAGAGCUCCGCGCGCUGCGCGAGCACCCUCCUAUGCACUUACUCAGCGAGCAGCUCAACAGCAUCGCUGAGGAGAGCCAUCGCUAUGCCGCCACGCUCGCUACUGCUGCUGCUGCUGCACAGCUGACUGACCCUAAGGACGUAGCGUCGCCAGCCUCACUGAGCAGCGACGCAGCUGCGACGUCGUCGUUGGACGGAGUUGCGUCACCUCCAUCGCAAGGAGCGGCUGCUGUCGUCUCUUCGCCGCCCCAAGUGGAGAUCCAGUUUGAGGACCGCUCUCUCUUUGCCACCGCCGCCAUUCUUUUUCGCGACCGUGACGACCGCGUCGUGCGAGCGAUGCGGUUCAUCGGUGCGUGUGGCAUGAUAUGGAAGGAAGUUGCGUGAGCAGGUAAGCCGAGAAGCGUGCUGCGUGUGUGCGAGUGUGUGUGUGUGUGCGUGCCGGCUUUGUUUCUUUGCGGCAGGCCGACUCACGUCUCGGCACACGUGGCGGAGUAUGCGGGCAUGCGUGUGGAGGCGGGUGCCUCUGUGGUGCGGCCUUCCGCUUGCGGUGUACGGUGGCUGCCGCUUGUCGUCAUGUAAAUUUCAAGUGUAAACGUAAAGUGCACAAGCAAACCACCGAAGGACGCUCGCGUAUGGUCGGAAGAAGUGAGCGCGCACAUCAUGGACCGACGGGCAGAUCGUACCGACCCCAUUACUUUGCAUUUGGCUGCAAAGGCCUCCCACGCCUGCUUUCACCGCGGAGGGGUGGCUGAAGGAAAUGCGAUGCCGAGUGUCUCAAAGGAGGAAGGGAGGGAUGUACGCGGCGCUCGAGGUGCAGCCGAUCUUCGGAAGCAAUUCUUUCAGCGCGUUGGCGCAGUACCCCCUUAUCAAGCUUGUCUUGCGUAUCUAUAUCACCGUAGUUUCCG